GGAGGGAUGGCCGAGUGGCUGAAGGCAACGGUUUGCUAAAUCGUCAUACGGAUUAAACUUCGUAUCGGGGGUUCGAAUCCCCCUCCCUCCGCCA
rnacentral:tRNA from 1 species